GAUGAACGCUGGCGGCGUGCCUAAUACAUGCAAGUCGAGCGAACGGACGAGAAGCUUGCUUCUCUGAUGUUAGCGGCGGACGGGUGAGGAACACGUGGAUAACCUACCUAUAAGACUGGGAUAACUUCGGGAAACCGGAGCUAAUACCGGAUGAUAUUUUGAACCGCAUGGUUCAAAAGUGAAAGACGGUCUUGCUGUCACUUAUAGAUGGAUCCGCGCUGCAUUAGCUAGUUGGUAAGGUAACGGCUUACCAAGGCAACGAUGCAUAGCCGACCUGAGAGGGUGAUCGGCCACACUGGAACUGAGACACGGUCCAGACUCCUACGGGAGGCAGCAGUAGGGAAUCUUCCGCAAUGGGCGAAAGCCUGACGGAGCAACGCCGCGUGAGUGAUGAAGGUCUUCGGAUCGUAAAACUCUGUUAUUAGGGAAGAACAUAUGUGUAAGUAACUGUGCACAUCUUGACGGUACCUAAUCAGAAAGCCACGGCUAACUACGUG
rnacentral:rRNA from 1 species